AUGCUCAGACUGAAGGAAGAGCCUGAUCCACUGCCUGUUUUUGUACGGUGGUUCAAUGCCUUUGUGUCACUGUGGUACACGUUUGGUGGAGGAACCAGACUGAGCGUUGGAAGUGAUGUCCGUCCCACCCUGACGGUGCUGCCCCCCUCCAGGGAGGAGCUGCAGCGGGGGACGGCCACGCUGGUGUGCCUGGCCAACAAGGGCUUCCCCUCCGACUGGAGUCUGGCCUGGAAGGUGGACGGCAGCAGCAGCAGCUGGGAGGAGAGCAGGAGCCCCGGGGUGCUGGGGGGGGGCGCCCUCUACAGCUGGAGCAGCACCCUGAGGCUCCCUGCAGACCAGUGGGCCAAGGUGGGCUCUGUGACCUGUGAGGCCACCCAGGGCUCCCAGCCUAAGCUCUCAGAGACGCUGAGGAGAGACCAGUGUUCCCAGUGAGCUGACCCACUGGGGCUCUGGUACUGGUUCAUACUGGUACUGGUUCAUACUGAUACCGGUUCAGUUUGACUGUAACUCUUUUCGUUUAUUUCUUGCUUUUAAUCACUCACUGUCUAAGUUCAUGUUUCAUUCUUAAAGUUCUGUUGAUUUUUACUAUUUUAACACAAUAAAUAACU